rnacentral:rRNA from 1 species
GUGGGGAAUCUUGCGCAAUGGGCGAAAGCCUGACGCAGCCAUGCCGCGUGAAUGAUGAAGGUCUUAGGAUUGUAAAAUUCUUUCACCGGGGACGAUAAUGACGGUACCCGGAGAAGAAGCUCCGGCUAACUUCGUGCCAGCAGCCGCGGUAAUACGAAGGGGGCUAGCGUUGCUCGGAAUUACUGGGCGUAAAGGGCGCGUAGGCGGACAGCUUAGUCAGAGGUGAAAGCCCAGGGCUCAACCUUGGAAUUGCCUUUGAUACUGGCUGUCUUGAGUUUGGGAGAGGUGAGGGGAACUCCGAGUGUAGAGGUGAAAUUCGUAGAUAUUCGGAAGAACACCAGUGGCGAAGGCGACUCACUGGCCCAAUACUGACGCUGAGGCGCGAAAGCGUGGGGAGCAAACAGGAUUAGAUACCCUGGUAGUCC